rnacentral:tRNA from 1 species
GGUUUGUUAGCUCAGAUGGAUAGAGCAAUCCCCUGUCACGGGAUAGGUCACGGGUUCGAGUCCCGUACAAACCGCCA